CGGAGGUUCCAAGCGUUGUUCGGAAUUACUGGGCGUAAAGGGAGCGCAGGCGGGCAAGUCAGUCUGAAGUGAAAUCCCGGGGCUCAGCCUCGGACUUGCUUCGGAUACUGCUUGUCUUGAGUUCGUGAUAGGAAGACGGAAUUCAGGGUGUAGCGGUGAAAUGCACAGAUAUCCUGAGGAACACCGGUGGCGAAAGCGGUCUUCUGGCGCGAAACUGACGCUGAGGCUCGAAAGCGUGGGUAGCAAACGGGAUUAGAUACCCUGGUA
rnacentral:rRNA from 1 species